GACGAACGCUGGCGGCGUGCUUAACACAUGCAAGUCGAACGCUGAAGCUUGGUGCUUGCACUGGGUGGAUGAGUGGCGAACGGGUGAGUAAUAAGUGAGUAACCUGCCCUUGACUCUGGGAUAAGCCUGGGAAACUGGGUCUAAUACUGGAUACGACAUGUCACCGCAUGGUGGUGUGUGGAAAGGGUUUUACUGGUUUUGGAUGGGCUCACGGCCUAUCAGCUUGUUGGUGGGGUAAUGGCUCACCAAGGCGACGACGGGUAGCCGGCCUGAGAGGGUGACCGGCCACACUGGGACUGAGACACGGCCCAGACUCCUACGGGAGGCAGCAGUGGGGAAUAUUGCACAAUGGGCGGAAGCCUGAUGCAGCGACGCCGCGUGAGGGAUGACGGCCUUCGGGUUGUAAACCUCUUUCAGCACGGAAGAAGCGAAAGUGACGGUACGUGCAGGAGAAGCGCCGGCUAACUACGUG
rnacentral:rRNA from 1 species